UACAGAGGUCUCAAACGUUGUUCGGAUUCAUUGGGCGUAAAGGGUGCGUAGGCGGCGCGGUAAGUCGGGUGUGAAAUCUCGGAGCUUAACUCCGAAACUGCAUUCGAUACUGCCGUGCUUGAGGACUGGAGAGGAGACUGGAAUUUACGGUGUAGCGGUGAAAUGCGUAGAUAUCGUAAGGAAGACCAGUGGCGAAGGCGGGUCUCUGGACAGUUCCUGACGCUGAGGCACGAAGGUCAGGGGAGCAAACGGG
rnacentral:rRNA from 1 species